GCCGACUUACAAUUAGUGCAUAUAAAAUUAAAGCCGAAAAAAAUAUUAAGUGUCCCGCCUCUUCUUCUUCACUGUACAGCCCCGCCAAGUCAUUUUCUUCUUCUUCGUUCCGCCAGCGACCCAAAAGAUUCUUCCUCGCUCUCUCCGAUCGUGACAACGCCUUCCAUCUUUCUCAUGUUGGGUCAUCGUUCGGCAGCAUCUUCUUCCGUCUCUCUCUCUCUCUCUCACUGGGUCGUCGUUCUGCAGCAUCUUCUUCCGUCUCUCUCGCUAGGUCGGUCUCUUCACUUGCUCAGGAACUUGCUCCUUAUCCCACCGUUUUUAUCAAUGGGAAUCACGAGGCUUCCAAUUACUUGUGGGAAUUGUUUUGGGUGGAUAUAUUAGCAAGGAUCAUUGCCAAGUGAAUUAAUUUGCUUGAUUAUCGUUAAUUGCAAGAGGAGGCUUUCAGUCCAAUUUUAGGGAAACCUCUGUCGAAUUUUUUCUAGGAAAUGGAUGAGUGCUGCAAUGAUGAUGCUAAACUUAUUUUCCCUAUUGGAGUUUAGAUUUCUUUAGUACGUCAUGCUAUCGGCCACUAUGUUGAAUGACCUUCUCAUCUAAUCAUUCCUUACGAUUCAGAUUUGCUACCUAAGAAGACAAAGAAGCAAAAAAGGAAUGGUUCACCAAUACCUAAUGCCCCAAUGACACAAGAGAAGUUUCAUCCUUCCCAAAGACUUCAUAGUCAAAAUGAAGUAGUGUCAAUUAUAGCUAGUGCCCUGAUACUCUUCAAGAUUCCUAGUGGAGUUCCUCGCUUUCUCAAGUGUCUAUUAACUACCAUGAAGUAUGUGGAGCCAAGUUUCAUGAUCAAAGUUCCGAUGGAUUUUGAGAUAUUAGGCCAUGAGAAUGAUUUAUAUAUCUCACAAGAAGAUAUAGUCCACGUUGGCUUAAUGGAAGAGAUUGGAGCAUCAUGUUUAUAGUUAUAUAUCAGGAUUUUAUACUUCCAAUUAGUGAAAAGAGAGGAUCAGUCACUUUUUUGGUUUUGUUGAGCCAAUUUGGUUAUCAAAUGUUGAAUCCACUGAAGAAGAACGAGUUGAAUGGGUAUCAAAGCGUAUAAUUGAUUCACAUUUGGGUCAGAUGUGGUUGUUGCCAUAUCAUAAGGGAAAACAUUGGAUGCUUAUAAUAAUUGAUUUUGAUCACCAAUUGUGCUAUUUCCUGGAUUCUCUUCACAAUUUUCCACCAGAUGAAAUCAAAUCUCUCAUUUCUUGUGUCUUUCAACAUUUACGCACAAAUAAUGCGAAAACUAAGGAAGUUGUGUGGAGAACAGUUAAGUGUCCUUGUCAACCAUUACAAUCAGUACAGUGUGGAUUCUAUGUUAUGAGGAUGAUGAAGGACUUCGUGACAAAUGAAUUUUCAAUGCGAUAGCUAACUAGUAACUGUGGCGGGAAGAACUAUUACACAAAUGAUGAGAUCAAUGAAGUACGUGAAGAAUUGGCACAAUGCGUCAUCGAUUUGAUGAGUACUACAUAGGUCCACUCACUUUUGUUAACUUAGACAUUUAAUGAGAUAUGCUUACAAUGUUAACUUAGACUUUCUUGAAGAUAUACACACUUUUGUUGUCCAACUAUAGUUUACAAUGCUUAUAUGAGUCAUUUUGUAAUUAACUUAAGACUCGUUAUUUUAGAUACUUAGUUCAAAUUCUAGUAUUUUAUAUUAUUGUGAUA